rnacentral:rRNA from 1 species
CAGUAGCGUAUAUUAAAGUUGUUGCAGUUAAAAUGCUCGUAGUUGAAGUUCGGAUGCAGCAGAGCUUGGAAACGCUGUUAUGGUGCUUCCGUUGCUUUUGCUUGUCCACAGUGCGUUGCAAGUACGUAUGUGCUUGUGCGUGCAUUUUACUUUGAGAAACAUAGGGUGUUCCACGCAUGUUACGGCAUGAAUAUUCCAGCAUGGGAUAAUCUGGUACGACUUCCAAUCUGCCAUUUUGGUUCGUAGGUUGGAAGUAAUGAUUAAUAGGGACUGUCGGGGGCAUUGGUAUUUGACUGUCAGAGGUGAAAUUCUUAGAUUCGUUGAGGACCAACCACUGCGAAAGCAUUUGUCGAGGAUGUGUCCAUUAA